UUUAAUUUUUAAAAUACAGCCCCAAUUCAUGGGUUCAUAGCAGAAAUCAGAUGUUUACAUUCACUGCAUAAACAGAACCAAAACAUUUCCUCACUAUUUAAUAUCAAAUGGGACAAAACCUUUCCUGUUUUAGGCCAGUAAGGAUUACAAUUUUUGUUUAUAUCUGCUGAAAGCCAGAACAACAAGACAGAGUUUUCUGGAAAUGUUUUUACUGAAAUAUUCAAAGAUUUUAAAUGUCAAACUUUGAAGAAAAAUCAGUCUUAUGUUCAAUGGAAUGAAUAAAUGUUUUUAGGGUUAAUACUCAGUCAUGAGGUGUCAUAAUGUUAGUGGCCGAUUUGACCCACAUACAGCAGAAACACCCAGAGAACAGAGAACUAUUUAGGAAGUUUAUUGAGAGGCUGUAAGGUGAGGGAAGGACAGCUGCUGCCUGGAACAGGAAGCUGCAACAGAUAGAACAGGUGAGAAUCUGCCUGCACGACAAAUGAUAAAUAAACAGAUGGGUUUACGGACCUAGCUGGGUCCUAUUUCAUUCCUACUGACCGCCAGAGGUGGUGCUUCAAGCACUGAAUGAUCAUUGUUGCGCAUGUGCAGGUUGAGAAUUUAAUAACAACAUGGUCACAUGUGACCUACCGGUGGCUCACGUGAGUCUAUAAAGUCACAUGACACCGGGAGCCCAGACCCUUCCUUCUUCUCGCGCGCAGGUUGAUGAAUGCAGUUGUUGACUUUAUUCGUUGUUCCUCGUUCGUCUUGCUGCUGGGAGCCUUGUGAUCAAUCGUGGUUGGAGCUGCGGAUGGUUCUGCCCUCCAGAGGCAGCGCAAGCUGCUUUUUCUUCCAGGUUUUCUGGGAGAGGGAGCUGAGUCCAGACCAGAGGAAGGGUGCAUCGCCAGAACUUCAGAGGGCUGGAGGUUGGAGGACCGUCGGAGGGUGGACAGGCUUGGCAAGGUGAUCAUCCCAACAAGCCGCACCUGUCACCCUCUAGGAACGGUCUCUGGUAUCACCUAGUGACUGAAGAUGGUUGGUAGCAGCCUAGGACAGAGUCCAGAUUCUUACAUGAGGUUGUUAAUCAGUUGCUUCUGACUGGUUAAUCAGUUCCAGGUGGUGACUCUUCACGGGGAAGUGUGUGCUCCUGUGGGGCAGAGUUUGGAGACUAAUACAAACCAUUAGAGUUUAUUAGGAAAAUCUUGACCAACCGAGCCAGCGAGGACUGAUCAAUCUUCCAAGAUUCAAAUGUAUUAGUGGUUGUUUUGUUUGCAUCGUUCUCUGUAUCCUGUCUUUUUACUUUUGGGUAAAGUUCCUCCUAGACUGUGUUUAGUUCUCCAAUUGCCCUGUGAAGAAUUCUUCAACUUAUGCUUAACAUGUUAUUUGCAAGAGUACACAUUUGUCAUAAUAAUAAUGCAGUGUAAGUGAAAUCCAAAAACCUGAACCCACUCAGCUGUCCUGCCUGCCUGCCUGCUUUCAAGUCAUGGUGAAACAGUUUGAUUUGGGACUAAAGUCGUCUGUUUUUUUUAGCUUUAGUAGUUCCAGUAUUGGCAAGGCUAUUUAGGGAAAACUGUUUUAGGACUUUGAAUUAAUCUCUUCUUUUCAUGUGAAAAUAUUAGGACACUCUGACAGCUGUCUGGGGUAUUCUGUGAGAUUGGUACGGGAUCUGAAGUGGCCUCAGAAGAAUUUAAUACAAAAUUAAUACAAAAUAGUCUCAUCAUCCAAGCAAGUUCACCCUGACAGUAGGCCUCAAUAUGCUUAAGCAAGUCUUCAAAACCCCUAAAAUGUCAUCACAGGACCUACAUCAAGCUCGUGCCACUGCUGAAAUGGAGGUCAAUGCCCGUACAAUCAGACAGAGACUCCAUACAAUUUAGCUUUGAUGUGUGGUCUGCAAAAGGAACCUUUGCUCUCUAAGAACACUAUGAAAGCCAGACUAAAGUUUGCCAAAGAGGAUGUAGACAAAGACCAAGAUACCUAGAAUAGAUUUAUUUGGACAGCUGUGUCUAAAAAUGUUUUUAAUUGCACACCAGAACAGAAAUGUGUGGCAUGAAUCAAAUACUGC